CAUUCACGGAGAGUUUGAUCCUGGCUCAGGACGAACGCUGGCGGCGUGCUUAACACAUGCAAGUCGAACGAUGAAGCCCUUCGGGGUGGAUUAGUGGCGAACGGGUGAGUAACACGUGGGAAAUCUGCCCUGCA
rnacentral:rRNA from 1 species